AUGUACUUUACCAUUCUGUCCUGAGAGUCCACGAUUUCUGAUGCUGACCCGCAAGGAUCAAGAAGCAGCUGAAAAGUGUACUCAUUACGAUGGUUUCGUCGAACACAUGAUGUAAGUGACGAUAUAAAUGAAAUGAAAAUAGAGCUACAACAUCUUGAGCGUCAAAAAAGGUUUUCAGUUGGAGAUUUAAUACGAAAUGAGG